CUUUGCCUUUGAUGGAUUCAUCCUGUUUCUAAAUGUACGUCACUACCCUCUUCACUUCUCACCCCUCCAAUACCUGUUGGCAAAAGAAGAAAUGUUUAGCAAUCCACAGGGUACGGUAUAGAGAAAAAUAUUAGGGGAGGGAAAUUAAGAAAUUGAGCUCUAAGUCUCAGCUGUAAUUGACAAAAUGUGAUUCUCCACCUGUCUCCUCUCUCUGCUUCAGCUUAAACUGAAACGAAAGAGGUGACCAAGAUGGAUUUGUUCCACCCUAUCAAACGAAUUUGCUGGCAGAUUCAGAAAACGUAAAAAAAGGGCUGGGGAUUUAGCUCAGUGGUUCCGCCGCCUGCCUCGAAAGCGCAAGGACCCAAGUUCGAUCCCCGGUACCAAAAAGAAAACGUGAAAACUAACAACUCUAUGCGUGUUUAAAAUUAAUGCAACAGGUGCUUACUGCCUCAGGGAGGAGUUACAGACUCAGGAUGCCUGAGUUUGUACCGGCCCAUCGGCACGGCCAAAGUAAAAACUGAAGAUGUUUUCUUAAACGUCACUUUGUCUUAAUGCGUACUUCUCCCUUCCACAUCUAUCCCCACCACAGCUCCGUGAGCUACUAACCUCACUGUUCAAGAGAGGUGGAGAAAACGAAGCACAGUGAACUAAGAAUGAGGCUCAGGUCGAUGGUGGCGUUUACCCAGCAACAGAGGUUCCAGUACAUAGCUGGAAGCAUGUGGCAAAGGAAAGCUGCUCACCUCCUGGCAGACCGAGAGGUAAGGGAGGGCUGAGGACAAGACAUACCCUUCUAGUUACACCCCCAGUGACCUACUGCCCCCAACUGGGCUCACCUUUUAACACCCCUUCAGUUAUGAACUCUUCAAUGGGUUAAUCUAUUGAUGAAGUUUUGUGUCCUUGUGAUCCAAUCACCUCUCUAGGCCCCACCUGCUGCCCUGGGACUCAAGCCCUAGAUACAUGAGUUAAAGAAGCUGGGUGUGGGCCUGCAUGCCUGUAAUCCCAGGUACUGGGGAGACUGAGGCAGGAGUUUGCAGUUUCACGGUCAGUGUGGGCAAUUUAGUGAGAUUGUGCCC
rnacentral:lncRNA from 1 species